UCACUCUUGAUUCUCUUCAGAUCGUAUAAAUCUUUCGCCUUUCUACUAAAGAUUUCCGUGGAGAGGAUCAAUCAAGAGUUUAUCUCAAUUUUUUGAUGCCCUGUGUAACGCGGGGCU
ensembl:snRNA U5 U5 spliceosomal RNA